rnacentral:rRNA from 1 species
UACGGAGGGUGCGAGCGUUGUCCGGAAUCACUGGGCGUAAAGGGCGCGUAGGCGGCGCGAGCAGUCGAUCGUGAAAGUCCGGAGCUCAACUCCGGAUCGGCGGUCGAUACUCCCGUGCUUGAGCACUGUAGAGGCAGAUGGAAUUCCGGGUGUAGCGGUGGAAUGCGUAGAGAUCCGGAAGAACACCGGUGGCGAAGGCGGUCUGCUGGGCAGUUGCUGACGCUGAUGCGCGAAAGCGUGGGGAGCAAACAGG